rnacentral:rRNA from 1 species
AUUGAACGCUGGCGGCAGGCUUAACACAUGCAAGUCGAGCGGGGUGAUGGUGCUUGCACUAUCACUUAGCGGCGGACGGGUGAGUAAUGCUUAGGAAUCUGCCUAUUAGUGGGGGACGACCUCUCGAAAGGGAUGCUAAUACCGCAUACGUCCUACGGGAGAAAGCAGGGGCUCACUUGUGACCUUGCGCUAAUAGAUGAGCCUAAGUCGGAUUAGCUAGUUGGUGGGGGAAAGGCCUACCAAGGCGACGAUCUGUAGCGGGUCUGAGAGGAGGAUCCGCCACACUGGGACUGAGACACGGCCCAGACUCCUACGGGAGGCAGCAGUGGGGAAUAUUGGACAAUGGGGGGAACCCUGAUCCAGCCAUGCCGCGUGUGUGAAGAAGGCCUUAUGGUUGUAAAGCACUUUAAGCGAGGAGGAGGCUCUUUUGGUUAAUACCCAAGAUGAGUGGACGUUACUCGCAGAAUAAGCACCGGCUAACUCUGUGCCAGCCGCCGCGGUAA